UAAGGAAUAUUGGACAAUGGACGCAAGUCUGAUCCAGCCAUGCCGCGUGAAGGAUGAAUGCCCUCUGGGUUGUAAACUUCUUUUAUAGGGGAAGAAAGAUACUUUUUUUAAGGUAGUUGACGGUACCCUAUGAAUAAGCACCGGCUAACUCCGUGCCAGCAGCCGCGGUAAUACGGAGGGUGCAAGCGUUAUCCGGAUUUACUGGGUUUAAAGGGUGCGUAGGCGGGCAUGUAAGUCAGUGGUGAAAUACCGGAGCUUAACUUCGGAACUGCCAUUGAUACUAUAUGUCUUGAAUAUUGUGUAGGUCAGCGGAAUAUGUCAUGUAGCGGUGAAAUGCAUAGAUAUGACAUAGAACACCGAUUGCGGAGGCAGCUUGCUACGCAAAUAUUGACGCUGAGGCACGAAAGCGUGGGGAUCAAACA
rnacentral:rRNA from 1 species